GCGUAUUGUAAGGCAGAAGAGCCUGUGUUGGUCUCACUUGUCCCAGUGCUUCUCAAAGAAGAACAUGUGCUUGAUGAAUCGCCGGAGGACUUUGAAGUUGGCAGUCACCCAUUGCUAAUAAAUCUGAGCCAAAUAUGGAAGUUACUGUGAAGUGCCUGCAGGAUGACUGCAAUUUUUUUUCAACGUCUUGGCAAAUUUGAGAACACAUGCUGCAAAAG